rnacentral:rRNA from 1 species
AUUGAACGCUGGCGGCAUGCUUUACACAUGCAAGUCGAGCGGCAGCGCGGGGGCAACCCUGGCGGCGAGCGGCGAACGGGUGAGUAAUGCAUCGGAACGUAUCCUCGAGUGGGGGAUAACCCAGCGAAAGUUGGGCUAAUACCGCAUGAGCUCUGAGGAGGAAAGUGGGGGACCUGCGAGGGCCUCGCGCUGGAGGAGCGGCCGAUGUCCGAUUAGCUAGUUGGUGGGGUAAAGGCUUACCAAGGCGACGAUCGGUAGCUGGUCUGAGAGGAUGAUCAGCCACACUGAGGCUGAGACACGGCCCAGACACCGACGGGAGGCAGCAGUGGGGAAGUUUGGACGAUGGGGGCAACCCUGAUCCAGCCAUGCAGCGUGAGUGAAGAAGGCCUGCGGGUUGUAAAGCGCUUUCGGACGGAACGAAAUGGGCGGGACUAAUACUCCUGUCUGAUGACGGUACCGUAAGAAGAAGCACCGGCUAACUACGU